AUUGAACGCUGGCGGCAGGCCUAACACAUGCAAGUCGAGCGGAGCGGCGGACGGGUGGGUGAUGCCUAGGAAUCUGCCUGGUAGUGGGGGAGAACGUCCGGAAACGAGCGCUAAUACAGCAUACUCUCAGCUGAGCGUAGGUGGGAUUAGCUAGCUGGUGGGGUAAAGUCCUACAAAGGCGACGAUCCGUAACUGGUCUGAGAGGAUGAUCAGUCACACUGGAACUGAGACACGGUCCAGACUCCUACGGGAGGCAGCAGUGGGGAAUAUUGGACAAUGGGCGAAAGCCUGAUCCAGCCAUGCCGCGUGUGUGAAGAAGGUCUUGGGAUUGUAAAGCACUUUAAGUUGGGAGGCGUUACCAACAGAAUAAGCACCGGCUAACUUCGUGCCAGCAGCCGCGGUAAUAC
rnacentral:rRNA from 1 species